AUAUAGCCCCGAUGGAACGGCAUGUUUGAGCUCAUUAUAUUUUUUUUAAAAAUAUAAUAGCGAGUAGUGACAGCGGGAUUUGAU
rnacentral:misc_RNA from 1 species